AAUAGAUGUGAUCGCCUGGUUUCACAUCGUCUCUGGAGAUUUUAUUGGAAAGGAAUCCCAUCUUCUCCGCCGACGAACGGAGAACCAGAAAUUAGGGAUUGCGUCGUCAGAGAGAGAAAGAUCUUAUUUUUUGCUUAGUGUGUAGGGUUUUCCAUCUUCCUUGGAUAACAUCAUAACUUUUUUAAAGUUCCAU